rnacentral:lncRNA from 14 species
GCACAUAUUCGAAACGGGCCUGCACCUCCUUACAUGGGAAAGGCCAUGCCGUAGAAACGAACCAAGAAAGAAAAGCUGAGGAAACUGGGUUACAGAGGGUACGGGGGGGAUGCUGCGUGCGGGGCCUGAGCAGAGCUAGGCCAGACUCCUCCCCGGCCCUGGCAGGGACCCCCUUCCCACCACAGGCCGCAGGUCCCCCCGCGCCGCCCGCCGAGGCAAAGGGAGGCCNNNNNNNNNNNNNNNNNNNNCUCCUCGCCCCGGGUCACGCCGCCCUACCCGGCUGAGAGAAGGACUUGGGAGGCGAGCGGCUCCGCCGGGGAGGGCAGCGCAGCGCGAUCGGCCGCUCCCUCCGGGCCAUCGUCUGGUGUUAUGUCGGAUUAGCAAUUACUGCUCUGACGUGGCAGAAUUGGCGCCUCGGUUCCAGCAGUCUUCAAACCCCAGGGAAACAGUUCUCUCUGUUGCUGGCUAA